GACGAACCGUCCAAACGUUAUUCGGAAUCACUGGGCUUACAGAGUUCGUAGGCGGUCCGGUAAGUUAGGUGUGAAAUCCCUCGGCUCAACCGAGGAACUGCGCUUGAUACUGCCGGACUCGAGGGAGAUAGAGGAAAGCGGAACUGAUGGUGGAGCGGUGAAAUGCGUUGAUAUCAUCAGGAACACCGGUGGCGAAGGCGGCUUUCUGGGUCUCUUCUGACGCUGAGGAACGGAAGCUAGGGUAGCGAACGGG
rnacentral:rRNA from 1 species